rnacentral:rRNA from 1 species
UGUGUUAUAACUCCCCUGCCGAACCAGGUGGCCCCGAAAAUGGAUGACGCUCAAGCAUAUGACUUACACUCGACCGUGCGCACGAGCGGCGUGUGCAUGGGUAGGAGGGCGUAGAGGCAGCGCCGAAGCCUUGGGCGUGAGCCUGGGUGGAGUGGUCUCUAGUGCAGAUCUUGGUGGAAGUAGCAAGUAUUCAAACGAGAACUUUGAAGACUGACGUGGAGAAGGGUUCCGUGUAAACAGCGUUUGGUCACGGGUAAGUCGAUCCUAAGAUCUAGGGUAGAUCCUAUCCAAAGAGAAUCGAAAGGGAAGAGGGUUAAUAUUCCCUCACCUCGGCGGGGUCCGACAGCGGUGACGCGAACGAGCUCACAGACACUCACGCCAAUCCCGGGGAGGGCUCUCGACUCUCCUUAAGUCUCCAGGAACCUUGGAGUAGGGUAAACCUGAGAAAAGGUCAUCGGAGAUGUACAACCCCAUUCAGGAUGAUGGGGUCCGGCGCAUUGGUAUGAGUCCAUGAAAAUGUGAGGGAGUGAUAGGGACUACCCCCGUAGGUCGUACCCAUAACCGCAUCAGGUCUCCAAGGUGAGUAGCCUCUAGUCGAUAGAAAAAAGUGGGUAAGGGAAUUCGGCAAAAUAGAUCUGUAACUUCGGGAUGAGGAUUGGCUCUAAUGGUCAUCCCUAUCGGUGCUGCUGCGGAGGUGCGCAGCUAAGUCUCAGGAAUCAAGUGCCUUUCCAGAGAAUCAUUAUGGUGGUUAGGGAUUACCCACACGACGCGUUGGGUCUCGGGUAGCGGCUGGCAAGGCAGACACGGCCCUGCUGGCGCCCCUCCCCUCGUGGGGUGGGAGUUAUAGUGUGCUAGAGGCUGAGCAACUCUCACCCUCCGGGGCCUGGGCUAUGCUCGUGCUUAUCCGUCUUAAUCCGGGAUCACCUCUGGGGUUCGAUAAGGGGCAUGAGAGGAACGUAACUGGCAUCGGUAGGUGGCGGGCUGAAUUAGAACUGGUGCGGACAAAGGGAAUCCGACUGUCUAAUAAAAACACAGCAUCGUGAUGGUCCUUGCGGAUGUUGACACGAUGUGAAUCCUGCCCAGUGCUCUGAUUGUCAACUUGAAGAGAUUCAAUAAAGCACGGGUAAACGGCGGGAGUAACUAUGACUCUCUU